CAGGCCUAACACAUGCAAGUCGAACGAGAAAGUGGAGCAAUCCAUGAGUAAAGUGGCGACCGGGUGAGUAACACGUGACUAACCUACCUUCGAGUGGGGGAUAACCUCGGGAAACCGAGGCUAAUACCGCAUAACAUCGCAAGAUCAAAGCAGCAAUGCGCUUGAAGAGGGGGUCGCGGCUGAUUAGCUAGUUGGCGGGGUAAUGGCCCACCAAGGCGAAGAUCGGUAGCCGGCCUGAGAGGGCGCACGGCCACACUGGAACUGAAACACGGUCCAGACUCCUACGGGAGGCAGCAGUGGGGAAUUUUGCGCAAUGGGGGAAACCCUGACGCAGCAACGCCGCGUGGAGGAUGAAGCCCCUUGGGGCGUAAACUCCUUUCGACCAAGACGAUAAUGACGGUACUGGUGGAAGAAGCACCGGCUAACUCUGUGCCAGCAGCCGCGGUAAUACA
rnacentral:rRNA from 1 species